UAGCUUGAUGGAGGUCACACAACAAA
rnacentral:piRNA from 1 species